rnacentral:lncRNA from 1 species
AGAGAGCCUGUCGUGUGCAAAUGCAGAAGAACCAAGAAAGCUGUAAAAUUGCCUCCCCUCCCAGCCAGCCCUGUUCGGGAGAAUGGAACCUUCCAUUAACCCUGUUUAAGGGACUGACUUUCCACCUCUGGGAGAGGAUGAAUUCACGUGCACCGAAUGUCUCAAAGGCAGGCGUCUGUGAGCCUGCGCUAGUUAAGGAAAGGAUGAUUUCAAGGCAGCUGGGGGUGACAACAGUGUGAUGAUGUCAAUUCAAAUUGCAAGAUUUUUUAAUUGAAGUCACUCAGCCGUGUCCAACUCUUUGUGACCCCAUGGACUAUAGCCAGGUUUUUUCGUCCAUGGGAUUCUCCAGGCAAGAAUACGGGAGUGGUUUGCCAUUUCCUUCUCCAGGGGAUCUUCCCAACCCUAGGGAUCGAACCUGGGUCUCCGGCAUUGCAGGCAGACUCUUUAUCGUCUGAACCACCUGAGAAGCUUCAGAACCAUAGGCCAAAAUACUGGAGUGUGUAGCCUUUCCCUUCUCCAGGAGAUCUUCCCUACCCAGGGAUCGAACCCAAGUCUCCAGCAUUGAAGGGCGAUUCUUCACCGACUGAGCCACAAGCAAUCUCAAUACAAAGAAAUAAUCCAAAUCAAGGUCUUCGCACAAGGACUUGGAAUGUAGGGAGAACUCAGUAAAUAUAGUUGUUAUUAUGAAAUGUGCUAUUAAACUCUCUCUCCGAGGUCCUGCUCUAUGGUUUUGUUCUCAUUCUUUUAUGUUUUCUUUGUGUGCAGUCUUUUUAUAGGGCGUGUCCCUUUCUCAGGAACUGGUUUCAGAGUCGAGGCUGGGAUCCUGAAAGUGGG